GGGAAUCUUCUUUUUGCAUAGUAUCAAAGUUGGGAGUUUGGAGGGAAGUAAACAAGGGGCUAAUUGAUUUGUUCCUAGUUCUUGGAGCACUAACAAUAUCAUAGUUUAAAUUUUUUUAUAAAAAAAAGCUGAUCCUUACUCAGUUGUCUUGGCCCUAGGAGCAAGAGAAACAUGACACGCCAGAGAGAGAGAGUACAUUGCAGGACCACAAGAGAAAAGGGUGGCCUCAACUCCUCGAGGGCUUUGUUAGCUUGCACAUUGAUGCUCUCUUCCUCACAUAUACAAAAGCUAUCACUCCCAUACAUUUAGUUUGGUUGUCCCCACCACUGUGCUGUGUUGUUUUAAGUGUAAGAACCCACCACUGUCCUUGAUGAUUGGAGAAAAGAAGGCAGGGGAUGGAGCAGUGAGCACAUGAAAAGGGCCAAUCCUUUCCUUGGCCCUUAUUUAUUCCCUUGGAAAGUU
rnacentral:lncRNA from 1 species